GUUGUAAACACGCCACUUUGAUUAGUGAAGGUCGCAAGCCCUUAGAAAGUGUGAGCGCAAC
rnacentral:ribozyme from 2 species